rnacentral:rRNA from 1 species
AACGAACGCUGGCGGCAUGCCUAACACAUGCAAGUCGAACGAGACCUUCGGGUCUAGUGGCGCACGGGUGCGUAACGCGUGGGAACCUGCCCUUAGGUUCGGAAUAACUCCCCGAAAGGGGUGCUAAUACCGGAUAAUGUCUUCGGACCAAAGAUUUAUCGCCUUUGGAUGGGCCCGCGUUGGAUUAGCUAGUUGGUAGGGUAAAAGCCUACCAAGGCGACGAUCAUAGCUGGUCUGAGAGGAUGAUCAGCCACACUGGGACUGAGACACGGCCCAGACUCCUACGGGAGGCAGCAGUGGGGAAUAUUGGACAAUGGGCGAAAGCCUGAUCCAGCAACGCCGCGUGAGUGAUGAAGGCCUUAGGGUUGUAAAGCUCUUUUACCCGGGAUGAUAAUGACAGUACCGGGAGAAUAAGCUCCGGCUAACUCCGUG